UUGACCUCAAAUCGGGUGAGACUACCCGCUGAACUUAAGCAUAUCAAUAAGCGGAGGAAAAGAAACUAACAAGGAUUCCCCUAGUAACUGCGAGUGACGUCCGAGUUGUAAUUUAGAGAAGCGUCUUCCGCGCCGGACCGUGCACAAGUCUCCUG
rnacentral:rRNA from 1 species